ensembl:snRNA U6 U6 spliceosomal RNA
GUGCUCGCUUUGGCAGCACAUACACUAAAAUUGGAACAGUACAGAGAAGACGAGCAUGGCCCCUGUGCAAGGAUGACAUGCAAAUUCGUGAAGCGUUCCAUAUUUUU